rnacentral:rRNA from 1 species
GACGAACGCUGGCGGCGUGCUUAACACAUGCAAGUCGAACGGAAAGGCCCUGCUUUUGUGGGGUGCUCGAGUGGCGAACGGGUGAGUAACACGUGAGUAACCUGCCCUUGACUUUGGGAUAACUUCAGGAAACUGGGGCUAAUACCGGAUAGGAGCUCCUGCUGCAUGGUGGGGGUUGGAAAGUUUCGGCGGUUGGGGAUGGACUCGCGGCUUAUCAGCUUGUUGGUGGGGUAGUGGCUUACCAAGGCUUUGACGGGUAGCCGGCCUGAGAGGGUGACCGGCCACAUUGGGACUGAGAUACGGCCCAGACUCCUACGGGAGGCAGAAGUGGGGAAUAUUGCACAAUGGGCGGAAGCCUGAUGCCGCAACGCCGCGUGCGGGAUGACGGCCUUCGGGUUGUAAACCUCUUUCGCCUGUGACGAAGCGUUAGUGACGGUAAUGGGUAAAGAAGCACCGGCUAACUACGUG